rnacentral:lncRNA from 1 species
ACUGAAGUUAUAAAUGGUUGUGAGCCACGAUGUAGUUGCUGGGAAUUGAACUUAGGACCUCUGGGAGAGCAGUCAGUGUUCUUAACUGCUGAGCCAUCUCUCCAGCCACAAGGAACUAUCUUAAAAUUUCAAAUUGUACUUUAGGAGAAGAAAAAGCAAAUAAAAGAAUACUAUAAAAUCAUGGGAUUAUGAGACCUCUGGCACUCUGUCCAAACUUUCUUUCAGACAUUUAAAAUUUGUUCACCCACUGGACCCACCUGCCUGAAUCUUGAUGCUUCAACUCUUUCUCAAAUCCUUACUUGGUUGUAAACACUGAGAACCAGAGAUGUUUACCAGGUGGCUCAAGCUCACAUAACUGGGUAUGUUAGGUUUGACAUCAUCACUAACUGUCCCAUAAAAAUAUAUUUGCAAUUUAUUGUUAGUAAAUGUAUCACCAUUUUUGGAACAUUUGACAGAAUACCAGACAGAAGCAACUUAAUGAAUGAGGGUUUAUUCUGAUUCUUGGCUUAAGAGUGGAUAAAUAUGUUACUGUGAUGGUGACUUUCAGUAGGUGGUCAUUCCGCAAUAGCUGACAGAAAGUAGAGAUCUCAAGCUUUACUACAGCAGCCAAUUAGAUCUUGUCUCUUAAGGAUGCGCUCCUCCACCCCCAACCCCAAACAAGGUCAUCAUCUGGGAACCAAAUAUUCAAAUACAUGAGCCUGCUGGGGUCAGACAUUACACACUCAAACUAGCAUGACUGAAAAUAGCAGCAACAGUUACAACAAAAUCCUUUCACUAAAUAUUGUAUCUCUGUUUCUGUCUCUUUGUCUCUCUGUCUCUCCCUCCCUGCCCUCUCUCCCUUUCUGUGUUUGUGUGUGUGUGUGUGUGUUUGUGUGUGUUUGUGUGUGUUUGUGUGUGUGUGUGCUUUCUUUUCUGGUUGGUGACUGAGGUUUGUUUAUUUCUAUUGUUUUCCUUUUGAUUGUAUUUCCCCCAAUAUAAUUGCAGGACUAUUGUUUUGUAGUUAAAUACGGAAAUCAAGUAGUUUAGCAUAUGAAUAUGCUAUAUGCUAAAUACUAUGAAGGCCUGGGUUUCAGGAAGAGCCAGAACAAAGGACUCAAAGCUAGAGAGUUUCCUUACAUUUCUUGACUUGGUUAGCCUUAUUGUCUUCCAGAGCAGAUGGGCUACCUCCAUGUGACCCACUGUUAUCAGAACUGGCCAUUGUUAUUCCUAGUCUGUAGUCUGAGAGGAAAGUUUUGUUGUUUGUUUUCUCUCUCUCUCUCUCUCUCUCUCUCUCUCUUUUCCUCUCUCUCUCUUUUCUAUACUGAUUCUGGACAGCUUUGGCUUUGCUGGGUCACAUGAUUUGGUGGAUUUAUAACCAUACUCUGGGGAGAGGGGUGUGUGUGUUUG